GAUGAACGCUGGCGGCGUGCCUAAUACAUGCAAGUCGAGCGAACAGAUGAGGAGCUUGCUCCUCUGACGUUAGCGGCGGACGGGUGAGUAACACGUGGAUAACCUACCUAUAAGACUGGGAUAACUUCGGGAAACCGGAGCUAAUACCGGAUAAUAUAUUGAACCGCAUGGUUCAAUAGUGAAAGACGGUUUUGCUGUCACUUAUAGAUGGAUCCGCGCCGCAUUAGCUAGUUGGUAAGGUAACGGCUUACCAAGGCAACGAUGCGUAGCCGACCUGAGAGGGUGAUCGGCCACACUGGAACUGAGACACGGUCCAGACUCCUACGGGAGGCAGCAGUAGGGAAUCUUCCGCAAUGGGCGAAAGCCUGACGGAGCAACGCCGCGUGAGUGAUGAAGGUCUUCGGAUCGUAAAACUCUGUUAUUAGGGAAGAACAAAUGUGUAAGUAACUAUGCACGUCUUGACGGUCCUAAUCAGAAAGCCACGGCUAACUACGUG
rnacentral:rRNA from 1 species